rnacentral:rRNA from 1 species
GAUGAACGCUGGCGGCGUGCCUAAUACAUGCAAGUCGAGCGAACGGGCGAGAAGCUUGCUCCUCUGAUGUUAGCGGCGGACGGGUGAGUAACACGUGGAUAACCUACCUAUAAGACUGGGAUAACUUCGGGAAACCGGAGCUAAUACCGGAUGAUAUUUUGAACCGCAUGGUUCAAGAGUUAAAGACGCUCUUGCUGUCACUAAUAGCUGGCCCCGCGCUGCAUUAGUUAGUUGUUAAGGUAACGGCUUACCAAGGCAACGAUGCAUAGCCGACCUGAGGGGGUGAUCGGCCACACUGGAAGUGAGACACGGUCCAGACUCCUACGGGAGGCAGCAGUAGGGAAUCUUGCGCAAUGGGCGAAAGCCUGACGGAGCAACGCGGCGUGAGUGAUGAAGGUCUUCGGAUCGUAAAACUCUGUUGUUAGGGAAGAAGAUAUGUGUAAGUAACUGUGCAGAUAUUGACGGUACCUAAUCAGAAAGCCACGGCUAACUACGUG